rnacentral:rRNA from 1 species
UACGUAGGGUGCAAGCGUUGUCCGGAAUUAUUGGGCGUAAAGGGCUCGUAGGCGGUCUGUCGCGUCAGGAGUGAAAACUCGGGGCUUAACCCCGAGCCUGCUUCUGAUACGGGCAGACUAGAGGUAUGCAGGGGAGAACGGAAUUCCUGGUGUAGCGGUGAAAUGCGCAGAUAUCAGGAGGAACACCAGUGGCGAAGGCAGUCACUGUG